AUUGCAUGUGCGUUAUAGGGGAGCUUAUCAAAUCAGAACGUGCUUUUUUGAAAAACAAGAAGUCCCAGGUAAACCUGAUGUACAUUAGAGGUGGAGGAACAAUGCCUCAGAAGUUUGAUAGAUACAAACACACUUUCCCACGCCAUGGGGCGCACCGCACACUCCUGCCCAGACCCAGGGUGAGGUCCCGACACCUGCCAAGAAGGAGCGGCACUCCGCUGAGACAGCGUCCCCGCCCCACCGGCUCACCUUGAUGCGCUCUCCAUCAAUAUCCACGGCUCGCUCUCGGAAGUCCACCCCGAUCGUGGCCUCGGUGCGGUCGGGGAAGCGGCCGGCGCAGAAGCGGUAAGUCAGGCACGUCUUGCCCACGUUCGAGUCGCCGAUCACUAUGAUCUUGAAGAUGCGGGAGCGGGCGGGAGGCAAACACCCAGACGCCCCUGACACCGCACAGCUGGACGAGAAGCUGACCUCCAGCGACGACUCCAUCUCCGAAGUCAUCCUCCCGCCCCGCCCCGAGCUGAGCCGGAGCACAGAAGCCGCGGGAAUGACGCCACGCCAGCGACAGCGCUCCCUAGCAGUGACAAACGACGCCCAACUCCCCACAGCCCGCGGGCACCGCGGCGCGCGUGCGCGAGCAGCCCCUGCCCACCCAGGUGUGGCGCCCCGCUAAGGCCCCGGCGCACGCGCAGUAGGCCUCCGCCAGUCGGUGCGGUGUACCUGGAAAGAUGCGUCGGCGCUCCCUGGCUGGACUGCGGCUCAGAAGGUCCGCCCGAGGGACCUCUAUGUGCCGCGCUCCAGCCUUCUGACCGCCUCGCCACGUCCGAGGUUCCCGAGCUCUGGAGGAAGCUGCGCAGCCCCCGGGGGCGGGGAGAGAGAGAGAGACAGCGGAGAGGAAGGAGGCGCGGCCCGGCUGUGGUCUCGCGAGAGGCGGCGGCGCAGUGGCGUCGUGGCCGCCUGGUCGCAGCCGGGGUUGGGGCUUGGAGUUGGGCUCUGAGCAUCCCCUGUGCUCACCGCUUCCUCCGGGCCUCCGUGGAGCGGGGCGGAACGGCGUGGGCAGGAGGGUGAGAGGCUACUCAGCUCCUGAACCUGAUCUUGGCCGUAGAGACUCUCCUCUACCUCUGCCUUCCCGGUGCUGCAAUGAAAAGUGUACACUACCACGACCCGCUCAGUUUGUUUUGUAAAAGAGACAAAUUGUUUUCGGCUGGUUUGAGCAACACAAGUCUUAAAUCUCUGUGAUUCUCUUCAACUCCAUAGAGUUCCAGGACAGCCAGGUCUCCUUGAGGCAGGAUCUCUCAGUCAAACCCAGAGCUCAUUCCAUAGAGCUAGUCUUGGUAGCUAACUUGCUCUGGGGAUUCUGUCUCCAUCUUCCAAGGUAGGAAUUACAGGAGGUCUUCCAUGCCUGCUCAGCAUUGCCUUGGGUUCUGGGGAUCCAAAUUUAGAACCAUCUCCUUAUUCCCUUCUUUCCUAUCCAGCCCCCCCCCCCCAGGAUUUUCAUAUUGUAGCUAAAGCUGGCCUAGAACCUCACUGUGUAUCCAGGCUGGCUCUGAUUUUUGUGGGAAUCCUGUCUUAGUCUCCUGAAUACUAGGGUUACAGGUGUGAGACUAUGCCUGGCUGAAUGUUACCAUUGGUUUAAAAUUAAAAAUAAGUACCACUUAAGCUGAAUGUAAUACCACAUGCCUAUAAUCCCAGUACUGAGAAGGCUGGAACAGUAUGUUAGUGGUUACAUGGAGACGUUUUGGAGUCAACUCUGAAGGAUCUGACAUGUUAACUUUGUAAGUCAACAAGUUCCAGUGCCAGUUGAUGAACUGUCAAUGAAACUCCUAGGUGAGAAAGAAAAGGCACCUUCUCAGAGAGGCAGAGUAUACCCCAUUCCCCAAGUGAUGCCAUGAGGCCAAGGUGAUGUCUGUCCGAUGUAAGUGGUAGCAUUACAGGAAAUGCUCUGCAGGAAACGGGUAUUUCAUAAAUGGUCUCUGAAUCUGUCCAGCUUCAUCCAGAAGAGUGAUGGUGCCUUUUCUCAUCCUGGAGACCAAACAAGACUCCCCCUAGAACAAGAAGAAAAAAAUAUUUUUUAUCACGCAAAAAACGAUUGCUAUACAAAUAUCCCUAGAAAAGAGCCCAGGAAGAAAGCUGUUGAUCACUUUGCCUGAAUUUACAGACAUGAGACAAAUGAGAAUUAACCUCCAUUAAAUGGUUAAUAGUUCAUGAGAUAAUUUCACCAUCUGUGUGCAGUGUUGGCAGCAUUUUUCCUAGGAGGACUGAGAUUUCCCGCAUUCUUUGAAUGCUUAGUAAUUGGGCUUACAUCCUGGGCAUUUUAAACAUUUCAUUUUGAGACUUGGGUCCUAUUGAAGUUCCAUUGAAAAUGUAGAACUGCAUGAUAUAAUAGUACAUGCUGAGGCAGGAGGAUAAUCAUGAUUCAAGUUCAGCCUGGCUGCUGCCAUGAUGAUCAUGGACUAACCCUCUGAAAAUGUAAGCAAGCCCCCAAUUAAAUGCUUUAUUUUC
rnacentral:lncRNA from 1 species